ensembl:rRNA 5S_rRNA 5S ribosomal RNA
AGACAAGGCCAUGCCACCCUGAAUGCACCUGAUCCCGGAAGCUAAGCAAGAUCGGUCCUGGUUAGUACUUGGAUGGGAGGCCGGUUUGGAUGGGAGACCGUUUUUUUUU